rnacentral:misc_RNA from 1 species
GUGGGAGCGAGCCUGCUCGCGAUGGCGGUGUAUCAGUCAGUAUCGAUGCUGCUGACCCAAUGCAAUCGCGAGCAGGCUCGCUCCCAC